rnacentral:rRNA from 1 species
UGGGGAAUAUUGCACAAUGGGCGCAAGCCUGAUGCAGCCAUGCCGCGUGUAUGCAGAAGGCCUUCGGGUUGUAAAGUACUUUCAGUCGGGAGGAAGGUGUCAAGGUUAAUAACCUUGGCAAUUGACGUUACCGACAGAAGAAGCACCGGCUAACUCCGUGCCAGCAGCCGCGGUAAUACGGAGGGUGCAAGCGUUAAUCGGAAUUACUGGGCGUAAAGCGCACGCAGGCGGUUGAUUGAGUCAGAUGUGAAAUCCCCGGGCUUAACCCGGGAAUUGCAUCUGAUACUGGUCAGCUAGAGUCUUGUAGAGGGGGGUAGAAUUCCAUGUGUAGCGGUGAAAUGCGUAGAGAUGUGGAGGAAUACCGGUGGCGAAGGCGGCCCCCUGGACAAAGACUGACGCUCAGGUGCGAAAGCGUGGGGAGCAAACAGG